rnacentral:rRNA from 1 species
UAGGGAAUCUUCCGCAAUGGGCGAAAGCCUGACGGAGCAACGCCGCGUGAGUGAUGAAGGUCUUCGGAUCGUAAAACUCUGUUAUUAGGGAAGAACAUAUGUGUAAGUAACUGUGCACAUCUUGACGGUACCUAAUCAGAAAGCCACGGCUAACUACGUGCCAGCAGCCGCGGUAAUACGUAGGUGGCAAGCGUUAUCCGGCAUUAUUGGGCGUAAAGCGCGCGUAGGCGGUUUUUUAAGUCUGAUGUGAAAGCCCACGGCUCAACCGUGGAGGGUCAUUGGAAACUGGAAAACUUGAGUGCAGAAGAGGAAAGUGGAAUUCCAUGUGUAGCGGUGAAAUGCGCAGAGAUAUGGAGGAACACCAGUGGCGAAGGCGACUUUCUGGUCUGUAACUGACGCUGAUGUGCGAAAGCGUGGGGAUCAAACA